rnacentral:rRNA from 1 species
AGGGUUUGAUCAUGGCUCAGAACGUACGCUGGCGGCACGCCUAACACAUGCAAGUCGAACGAAGUAGCAAUACUUAGUGGCAGACGGGUGAGUAACAUGUAGGUAUCUACCCUUUGGCCUGGAAUAACACGAGGAAACUUGUGCUAAUACCGGAUAAGUCUUUACGGAGAAAGCUUUAUGCACCAUUGGAUGAGCCUGCACUUGAUUAGUUCGUUGGUGGGGUAAUGGCCUACCAAGACUGUGAUCAAUAGCUGAUUUGAGAGGAUGAUCAGCCACAUUGGGACUGAGACACGGCCCAAACUCCUACGGGAGGCAGCAGUGGGGAAUCUUGCACAAUGGAGGAAACUCUGAUGCAGCGAUGCCGCGUGAGUGAAGAAGGCCCUUGGGUUGUAAAGCUCUUUCGUCGGGGAAGAAAAUGACUGUACCCGAAUAAGAAGGUCCGGCUAACUUCGUGCCAGCAGCCGCGGUAAUACGAAGGGACCUAGCGUAGUUCGGAAUUACUGGGCUUAAAGAGUUCGUAGGUGGUUGAAAAAGUUAGUGGUGAAAUCCCAGAGCUUAACUCUGGAACUGCCAUUAAAACUUUUCAGCUAGAGUAUGAUAGAGGAAAGCAGAAUUUCUAGUGUAGAGGUGAAAUUCGUAGAUAUUAGAAAGAAUACCAAUUGCGAAGGCAGCUUUCUGGAUCAUUACUGACACUGAGGAACGAAAGCAUGGGUAGCGAAGAGGAUUAGAUACCCUCGUAGUCCAUGCCGUAAACGAUGUGUGUUAGACGUUGGAAAUUUAUUUUCAGUGUCGCAGCGAAAGCGAUAAACACACCGCCUGGGGAGUACGACCGCAAGGUUAAAACUCAAAUGAAUUGACGGGGACCCGCACAAGUAGUGGAGCAUGUGGUUUAAUUCGAAGAUACGCGCAGAACCUUACCAACACUUGACAUGUUCGUCGCGACUCUAAGAGAUUAGAGUUUUCGGUUCGGCCGGACGAAACACAGGUGCUGCAUGGCUGUCGUCAGCUCGUGUCGUGAGAUGUUGGGUUAAGUCCCGCAACGAGCGCAACCCUCACUUUUAGUUGCCAUCAUUAAGUUGGGCACUCUGAAAGAACUGCCAGUGAUAAGCUGGAGGAAGGUGGGGAUGACGUCAAGUCCUCAUGGCCCUUACGUGUUGGGCUACACACGUGCUACAAUGGUAUCUACAACAGGAAGCAAGACUGCGAGGUCAAGCAAAUCCUCAAAAGAUACCUCAGUUCGGAUUGCACUCUGCAACUCGAGUGCAUGAAGCUGGAAUUACUAGUAAUCGUGGAUCAGCGUGCCACGGUGAAUGCGUUCCCGGGUCUUGUACACACCGCCCGUCACACCAUGGGAGUUGGUUCUACCUUAAGGC